rnacentral:rRNA from 1 species
UGGGGAAUAUUGGACAAUGGGGGAAACCCUGAUCCAGCAAUGCCGCGUGUGUGAAGAAGGCCUUAGGGUUGUAAAACACUUUCACAGGUGACGAUGAUGACGGUAGCCUGAGAAGAAGCCCCGGCUAACUCCGUGCCAGCAGCCGCGGUAAUACGGAGGGGGCGAGCGUUGUUCGGAAUUACUGGGCGUAAAGGGCGUGUAGGCGGUUUGUUAAGUUAGGCGUGAAAGCCCCGGGCUCAACCUGGGAACUGCGCUUAAUACUGGCAGACUUGAGACCGGGAGAGGGUAGUGGAAUUUCCAGUGUAGAGGUGAAAUUCGUAGAUAUUGGAAAGAACACCAGUGGCGAAGGCGGCUACCUGGCCCGGAUCUGACGCUGAGGCGCGAAAGCGUGGGGAGCAAACAGG